GAUGAACGCUGGCGGCGUGCCUAAUACAUGCAAGUCGAGCGAACAGAUAAGGAGCUUGCUCCUUUGACGUUAGCGGCGGACGGGUGAGUAACACGUGGGUAACCUACCUAUAAGACUGGGAUAACUUCGGGAAACCGGAGCUAAUACCGGAUAAUAUUUCGAACCGCAUGGUUCUAUAGUGAAAGAUGGUUUUGCUAUCACUUAUAGAUGGACCCGCGCCGUAUUAGCUAGUUGGUAAGGUAACGGCUUACCAAGGCGACGAUACGUAGCCGACCUGAGAGGGUGAUCGGCCACACUGGAACUGAGACACGGUCCAGACUCCUACGGGAGGCAGCAGUAGGGAAUCUUCCGCAAUGGGCGAAAGCCUGACGGAGCAACGCCGCGUGAGUGAUGAAGGGCUUCGGAUCGUAAAACUCUGUUAUUAGGGAAGAACAUACGUGUAAGUAACUGUGCACGUCUUGACGGUACCUAAUCAGAAAGCCACGGCUAACUACGUG
rnacentral:rRNA from 1 species